rnacentral:rRNA from 1 species
CAGCCGUAAACUAUGCUCGCUAGGUGUCAGGCAUGGCGCGACCGUGUCUGGUGCCGCAGGGAAGCCGUGAAGCGAGCCACCUGGGAAGUACGGUCGCAAGGCUGAAACUUAAAGGAAUUGGCGGGGGAGCACCACAACAGGUGGAGCCUGCGGUUUAAUUGGAUUCAACGCCGGACAUCUCACCGGAUAAGACAGCUGAAUGAUUGUCAAUCUGAAGGUUUUACAUGACUAGCUGAGAGGAGGUGCAUGGCGUCAGUGACU